rnacentral:rRNA from 1 species
AAACGACUCUCGGCAACGGAUAUCUCGGCUCUCGCAUCGAUGAAGAACGUAGCGAAAUGCGAUACUUGGUGUGAAUUGCAGAAUCCCGUGAACCAUCGAGUCUUUGAACGCAAGUUGCGCCCGAAGCCUUUUUAGGCCGAGGGCACGUCUGCCUGGGCGUCACAC